CAGAAAUGGGUACCUUUGGGGUCUUGGCCAUAAGAAAUCUGGUGUUUUAUCGAAACCCCAAGGACAGGCUGGGCAAUGGCUCAGGUGGUUUCCUGCUUGCCUCGCACGCAGGAAGCCUUGGGUUUGAUCCCAUGUGCAACAUAAAGGGAGUAUUUGCACAAUCUGUGGUCCUAGCACUCUGGAGAUGGAGGCAGCGGGAGAAGUUCAAGGUCAUUCACAGCUACCUGGAUGAGUUUAAGGUCAUCCUGCGAUACCUGAGACAGAACAGGCCUUUGUGGUUCCCACUCUGGGCCCCUGGGUCUUUUAACCUGAGAGUUCUGGAGCUUAUCUUGUUUGGGGAUCCACGGGGCCUGUGUACUUGCAGCCAGGGCUCCUUUAUCGGUUAGCCAGCAGAAAAUCUGGGAGUUUGUCUAAAGUGAGGAAUGACUUAGGGGUCCACAAGUCCCAGUGUCUGGCUCUCUGUUCAGAUUCUACCUACAAGAAAACGAAGUAUGCCAUUGGUAGGAUGAAUGCCCAGAGGGAGAAAGUGUGCAGAGCUCUCUGAGUGUGGAGACUCACCGAGGCCUGCUGACCAUUGCCAUGUCUGUGGAAAGCCCAGCAAUGAGCAAGCAAAGAUGAAGGCCACAGACAUGUCUCCUGGGAGAAGCAGGCCCUGGGGGGCAAUGAGAGACCCUUAAGUCAUUUGUGUUUAGCCCAGCUGAGAUGACAAUCCCAGAUCAAAGUGAUCUUCAGAAAGGGGGACAUUGUCAGCUGGGGGCAAGGAGCCAGGGUGGAGGCAACAUCACCAAGGGUCCCAUAAAGCCUGACCCUGAAGCUGAGACUAAAGGGGGGAGAGACCCACCUCCCCAACCCCCCAAAAUCUAACCCCCGGGACCAGGCAUCCACCCAGCAGAGUAGCCUCAGUGCAGAUCAUGGGUGUCUGAGGCUCUCACUAGACCACUCUGUCCCUGCCUGGAUUCAUAGUUACACUAUAGAGCCAGCUCCAGUUAACAUGCAUGGUCUCACCUCUCCUCAACAAGGCGUCCCACUUAAAUUCGAUUUCUAUCUUUGCUGUGGGUUGAAAAUCAUUUCCUUCACAAAGCCAAGUGCUGAGAAAGUCAGCUUCGUUGUCUCCAUCGUGAGAUGGCCAAAUAGAGAACUUGACUCAAAACAGUAUGUGGUUGAAAAUGAUCAGAAAGGACAGGCUAUCUGUGAUGCCUAUUCUUGGGAAUGACGGGGAAGGAGGCCUGAGUCACUGCUGAUUAAACACCAACUGUAAAUCUGAUGUUUCUUUGAAUCAAAAUGCAAGGAAUUUUAGGUGGUUUUCCAAAUGGCCUGGGAGCCAGAACUCACUGUGAAGCUGACCCCUAACAGCACCUGGAUUGUCACUGAAUGAAUAGGAUCUCCUACAGGACCUCUAAGGGCGUUGGGAGCACACCUGGCCUCUCUCAUUGGUCCUUGGGCUUAUACCCUCACCUGUCAAUCAUAGUUCUCCACUUCGAUCUAUUGCUACAAGUUGCUGCAGGUCCUAGCUAUCCCCAGGGCUUGUGGUCUGGUGUGCUCUGUCCCUCUUGGAUUCAUGUUUGGAAGCCUGCCCAGCCAACAUGGUGAUUUCAAGAGGCUAUGAGACCCUAAGAAGUGUGACCUCCUGAGAGGUCUUAGGUCUCAGAAGGAAUUAAAGUCGUUCUCGUGGGACCCCAGCUGUUGUCACAAGACCAAGUUACCACAGAACAAGUAAGCUGGGGUAUCAGAGGGUUGUAGCACUUACCUGCUAUGCACAAGGUCCUAGAUUCCAAACCCAGCACCACCAAGGGUGAUCCCUCCAGCUCCCUUGCUUCCUGGUUUGUGGGCGGUCUCUCCCUGUCACUCAAACCCACCAUGAUGUCACCACUGCAGUGAGAGAUUGCCAGGAGCCUCGUCGCGACCGUGGCUAUGCCACAUGCACUUUAAGCCCCUUCAAAAUGGCACAAAGCUCCCAUUUGUUAGUCACAGAAACAGAACAUGGACCGAUAGACAUGUCACCUCCAGGCCUUUACCUAACUCGUCCCCUGUGACACCAUCCCCGCUCCUCCCUUUCUCAGUUUACACCUCCUGAAUCCCACUCACCUCAAGAGCCUUCUCCAUCAUCACCCUGGCCUGCUGGGUGACUGACUGGUGCCAACCUGGCGCUAUUUGGUAUGCACUCCUGAACCCUGCUGGCCCACAUCUACACAGCAUGAGCAUAACAUUUCCUUAAUGGCUUUUCCUCAAUCACCCAUGAGGUCCUAAAGAACACAGCCGAGUCUUAGCCAUUUUCUACACUUGACCCUGAAGCACGGUGCCUGGCACAGAGGAAGGUCUCAAGUACCACACACAUGAAUGGCCCUUAUUGUAAGCUUGGAAAGCAGAGGACUGCUGUGACCAACAGCUGGCCUUCACGACCGGGUCCAAGCAAGCUUCUGAGAAGGCAAUCAAGACAUGUUUGCUUAGCUCUCAUGGCAAAGUGCACCCCGUGGAGAAGCAGGCACCAGUGCCAAGAGAGGGUUAUCCCUUCCUCAGGCACGUCCAGCCUUCUGGAGGGUGUGGACUUCAGGGAAAACUGGGCAUUUGGCCUAUCGCAUGAUUGAACAGAAAACUCUCUCUCUGUCUCUCUCUGUCUCUCUCUCUGUCUCUCUGUCUCUCUCUCUCUGUCUCUCUCUCUCUCUCUCUCUCUCUCUCAGACAUUUUGGGGAAGGAAAAGUACUCUGCCUACAGGCUUGGCUUCCUGGAAGUUCCCAGCAACUGAUUUUUCUAGAUGUUUCCCAGAUCUUCCAGAAUCUUGGUCAUUGUUUAAAACUGGCUUUCUCCCGAAGGGAAAGACUUGGGAGGAUGGCAGAGUGCUUAGACGGCACUGACUCCAGCCUCCUUCCCAGGCCCGCACAAGGAUUUCCAGUUGAUCUGGCCCAGCGAGUGACCUUCCUGGCCCCUGCUUCUGGGGACUGAUGGAUGCAGGCAGCAAGAGCCAAGGAGCCCAAGGCAAAGCGGGGGCCUCUUCCAUGAGCAAGCAACAGGCCAGAGGACACAGGGGACGCACAGCAACAGAAAGGCGCUUUCUCCUGCCCCGGCUCUGUGUUGGCUGUGUAAUCCCAAGCCACUUCUUAGCCUCUCUUGACUUCUGCCCUCUGCUCACGGUCUCUGCCUGUUGGGUACAAAUGGAUUUGCAUGUAGAUUCCUUUAGGGCAAAGGAAGAAGCUGUUAAGCCAGUAGCAAGUCCCAGCCACUUGAUGUAAUGACUCCUGGCCUGUUAUCUGUCCCACCAUGACCUGACCUGUCAGCUUUCCCACCUCCAUCUUCACCCUGCUCCUCCUGGGAUGUGGCCAUCCCUGCACUCCUCUGGACCUGGGCUGGGUUUCAUGGCUUGCCUGAGAAGACAACUAUGGCAGCUGUGAUGCCCUUCUGAGGCCACUCAGAAGAAGUCUGGCAGCCUGCACUCCAAAUGCCUCCUGGAUGAAGUCAGUUACCGUUCAUUCAUCAGUGUGAGCCUGCAUACUGUGUAGAAAUGAAAGCAUACCCCACCACCCAGCAGCUAGAGCAACUGAGUUGGGAGACAGACAGACACAGGAGAAGAGAAGCCUUGUUCCAGGGCCCAUGUCCAUCCAGCCCAAUGGAGCUGUGGAGGGCUUCAGACUUAGGAAUCACUGGAACUGCAUAAGAGACUCUUGAUAUCACAGAGGAAAACAUGUGUAUGCUUUAAAGUGCUAGAUACAUCGUGAAGUCCUAGAACCCAGAACCCAGCCCUGCUCUCCAGAGUCCCCUGUCCCAGCUGCUGAUACGUCUUCCCCCUCCCUCUAUCACCAACUAUCUGUGUCCGUUCCCUUGAUGGCUUCCAACCUCCUCCCUAGCAAGUGAUCUUAAACCAUCAUUAGAAACGGUUGCUUCCGGUCCACUUUGGUGUGUCUACAGUCCCUACCAUGGAUGACCCCUCAUCUUCACCCACUCGGUUCCCCUAGGUUACCUGCUCCUGUUAGUUCCUCAAAAGAGCUGCUUACAUACAAACUCUUCAGAGACUCCCUCGGAUCUUUGAGAGGGCUGGAGAUGUGGUUUAUACUAUAGAGUACUUGCUGAGCAUGCGUGAAGCUCUGGGUUCCAGUCCUAGUGGUUUCACACUAUCCUGGGAAGAGAACAGAUACAUCACAGAAUCAUGUUUAUCAAGGAGGAGGGAAGACACGGAUCAGACACGACCACACCAUGAAGCAAAAGAAUCCAGAUGACACAGAGGUGUGAGCUGUAGGGUUCUGUUGGCUAAAAAGUCCCGAUGCUGGUGAUGGAAUGUAACAGAGGCCAAGGUGAAGAUCUUCCUCAGAGGCAGAGAGGAAGGCACAUAAGGGCAACCCCUGAGGACUGGAUGUGUGUGGUUUCUGACCUGAGUCUGGUCACACACUUUAGAGUGGGUAGUUCUAACAGACCAGUCUAUCCAUUUUAGGGGUGGAUGUUCAAAUUAGUGAUAAAGAAGGGAGUGCUGUGUCACAGGCUUUUUGGUCACACUGUGAACCCCAAGCUUGUGUGUCUAUCCCUAGCUCACCCCUUUAAUCAAAGAGCUUCAUGCUUACUGUAAAUGAGAUUAAAGUCAACAUAGAUGAAGAGGUGACGUAAGCAACCAGCUGACAGGGAGUGGACAUAGGAAAACCGGACAGAGUAAGAGGAAGUCAGGAGGAUGAAUAGUGAGACACACAGGAAGUAGAAGGGAGGGACAUUCAGUUUGAAGGGUUUUGAGUUUGGUGUGGAGAAGGACAGCUUUUUCCUUUUGGGAUGCUGGCUGACGAGGAAGGUCAGCUGGGUGCUUUCUCUUCACCCCAGUAUCUGGCUCCCGAUUCUUCACUGGUAAAUCAAACCGAACAUUUAAGACACUAUUAAGAGCAACAGUGAGGUUCCACCUACUAAUGGGCUGUCGCAUUCACUCACUCCUUCCUCCGCCUGGAGUGCAUCUUCUCUUGACUUUCUUUGGUGAACUCCUUUUGGUCGUUCUCAUCUAGACCAGCCUCCCAUUUCUUCAGGGAGCCCUUUUCCUAAAAGGAUUGUAUCAGUCAGCUGUGGCCGCAAAACAAACACACCCAUGAAGAAAGUGAUCAAGAACAAUGCUCGUUAACUCGAGAUUCUGUUGGAAUGCACACGAUGCACAUGAACUACGGUGUCAGACUGGAGGGCCCCAUCCAGACAGAGUUAGCACCCAGGGAGGAAGUCGGCAGGACAAGACAUAGGUCAGCUGUCCAGGCCCCUCAGUGGCAGGAAGGAGACCAGAUUGAGUGUGGGACUCAGGCUGUAACUGCCAGCUGGUACAGAUUCAGAUCCCAGCCCUGCUGCCUCCUUCCUGUGACACUUUAGACAGCCCUGGACUUCUGCCCAUGUGAAAGGGAGUCACAAUGAGUUCUAGAGGCAGUCAAUGCACAUAGUGUGCAGAGCAGCUCCCUACACACAACAAGGCACACAAGGACACUCCACUCUGCUUGUAUGACAGUCUAAUGUCACUCAGAGGCAAGUGCAAGGCAGGAUCCCUGGUGGGAAGGGCUCCUGAGGCGUCUAGGGUUAGGUCCAGCAACCUCAGUUCUGCAGUGGCUAUGGCCUGGGGCAGCUGUGACUGGGUGCCCCCCUCCAGGGGCAGGUGCAGGGCCUGCAGGAUGCUCCAUUGUGUCUCAGUAGCCAGCCACAUUUUUGAGGUAUUUUUGAACCCACUGAUGAAAAGUCCUUUUCUAAUUAGCCAAACCUUCCUGGUGCAGGUUAGCAAGGGUGUAUUUGCCUCACUUUAGGGCUUGCCCUAGAAUGUGGGUCAGAGGUAACCAGGCACCAUCCACCUCCAGCAGUUUGGACCAUAGCUUGGUGGUAAAGUUGGAGUAAGUUGGCACGAGUCACUGCGGGUUAUGUGGGAAGCCUGCCUGCUUUCCCUCUCCCCCGAACUUGGGAGUUGGCUCUCUUCUCUAACC